rnacentral:rRNA from 1 species
UACGUAGGGUGCGAGCGUUAAUCGGAAUUACUGGGCGUAAAGCGUGCGCAGGCGGUUAGCCGUGUCCGAUGUAAAAGCCCCGGGCUCAACCUGGGAAUGGCAUUGGAAACUGGCUGGCUGGAGUGUGGCAGAGGGGGGUGGAAUUCCACGUGUAGCAGUGAAAUGCGUAGAUAUCGGGAGGAACACCAGUGGCGAAGGCGGUUGCCGCU